rnacentral:rRNA from 1 species
AGCGAACGCUGGCGGCAGGCCUAACACAUGCAAGUCGAACGAAGUCUUCGGACUCAGUGGCGGACGGGUGAGUAACACGUGGGAACGUACCUUUUGGUUCGGAACCACUCAGGGAAACUUUAGCUAAUACCGGGUGAGCCCUUAGGGGGAAAGAUUUAUCGCCAAAAGAGCGGCCCGCGUUAGAUUAGCUAGUUGGUGAGGUAAAGGCUCACCAAGGCCACGAUCUAUAGCUGGUCUGAGAGGAUGAUCAGCCACACUGGGACUGAGACACGGCCCAGACUCCUACGGGAGGCAGCAGUGGGGAAUCUUGCGCAAUGGGCGAAAGCCUGACGCAGCCAUGCCGCGUGAAUGAUGAAGGUCUUAGGAUUGUAAAAUUCUUUUACCAGGGACGAUAAUGACGGUACCUGGAGAAAAAGCCCCGGCUAACUUCGUGCCAGCCGCCGCAGUAAAAC